CAGCAGCCGCGGUAAAACAGAGGGUGCGAGCGUUAAUCGGAUUUACUGGGCGUAAAGCGUGCGUAGGCGGCUUCUUAAGUCGGAUGUGAAAUCCCUGAGCUUAACUUAGGAAUUGCAUUUGAUACUGGGAAGCUAGAGUAUGGGAGAGGAUGGUAGAAUUCCAGGUGUAGCGGUGAAAUGCGUAGAGAUCUGGAGGAAUACCGAUGGCGAAGGCAGCCAUCUGGCCUAAUACUGACGCUGAGGUACGAAAGCAUGGGGAGCAAACAGGAUUAGAUACCCCCGUAGUCCCUGUCUCUUAUAC
rnacentral:rRNA from 1 species